CAGACGUGCAGCCGGGCCAGACGUUCAAUUAAUGUGCAUAAACGGGCAGUGGAGAAGCAAUUUUCAGAGUAAGUCAAGCAAAAGAUCAAUCCUGUUUUGCCUCCCAUGCCAAAGUUGCUGCUGUAUUUAUUUUUAUGUUAUUUCAUCCUUUUUUUUUUUUCCCCUGUCCCUCUUAUGAUAAGCAUGUUGUUGAGAGGCAGCACUCAAAGCACAGCUCACUGCACUCAUGGAGCCAUCACUCCCUUCCUUCGGGGCUUGGAGAUGACACAUUUGCAGAAGGGUCAGGGAAAGCCACGUCAUCUCAAGGGACUCACACCUGAGGGUGUGAGCAAUGUAAAUCCGAGAUUCUUCAUUAAACUCCUACAGAGAAGGCAGUAUGCAUCAGAAGACCUGUCGCCUGCUUUGAUUAUUCAUGUGUCUGAGGAACUUUGAGUUGCCUUUCCAAAUCUGGGGAAGAUUUUUGGGGAAAAAACCCAUCCUCUCUAUUGACUGCUUCCUCCCACCUCUUCACCAUAUGAUAAUUCCAGCUGGCUGCCAGGGGCAAAGCAACUGUGAUGGGUCUACAAAUAUUCAGCUUUGCUCUGGCCUUUCCUAUGAAUCCUCCAAAGAGUGCCUGUGGACACGGCAGAAGCGUGGGCCAGAAGAAAGCAUUUGAAGGCAAAUCACUUUUCUGUGUCUGGCUGCUCUGUGAGUAAACUGCAAGAAAUACUCCGGGUGGUUUUUUUUCUCUAGACUUGGCAAGAAUCCCUGAUAAGAAAUGCUGGUCUCCGAAGGCCGUCAGCCCAGCUCUGCUGGCUUCAGGGCUUUGCUCCUGAUCUGCGCUAAGCCAGAGGUAGGUGGCAUCACCCCCUGCACGUAAAGGGGAUCGCCUGUGGUUUGAAGCAGUCUAAGGAGAGAGCAGAGCCAGGCUGCCGAGCCCCAGCGCGUGGGGAAGACUGAGCUAAGGCGUUUCCUGGCUCCGGGCAGAGCUGAACCACGGACCCGGUGAGCUGGAGGCGCUGAGGUUUCCCUGUACCUGAUGCACCAUCAGUGCAGACCCGCUGGGGAACCAACGGGACUUCACAGCAGUGACACCGGGGACCUUGAUUGUACUGCUGGACACACUGGGGCAGAACUGGAGCCCAGUCCCCUGCUCUGGUUUCUACUCGUUCAGCUUUUGCUAAGCAGCAGCUGAAACUCCUACAUCUCUGUCAAGCAGCAGAACAGGAAUUUGCUGGGGUGAAGGACUCUUGAUCUACUGCGCUCGGGGAAUAUGGGCUCAAAAACAUCUGUGCAAGAUCUUCCACUUUCCAGUCACUCUUGUUUUUGAACUCUACUCCUCCUGGUUGAGUGGAUGUGGGGUCGCCAAGAUCUCUACAGUGUGGACACAUGGAGAAGGACGCCUUCCCCUCACCGACCCGAAGCCAAGCAGUCUCCUCCUGCCCCACCAGACUUUGCCAUCCCCUCGCUCUGCUGCUCCGUGCAACAACGUGACUUUGUGCAUCUCCUCCUGUGGGAAGAGGGGACCGUGUCCUGACCUGGCACCACCGGUCCCUGCAGCAUUCCCACCAUUCCAGGACAGAGAUGCUGAGCGCUUGGCUUUGAGGUCUGCUUCUUCUCCACGUGGCUCUUGGGAUUUAUUCCCUUCCAACCACCUUGGGCCGCCCGAGGCAUGAGAUGGGCUCAGCUCCAUGGCUUGACUGACACAAAAGCGUUCCAGCAUCGGAGACUGAGAGAGACAAACGAGCGAUUUGCCAGGAAAUUAUCCCUUGGGAUUCCUCCUCUCCCCAGUCAGUUUAAUUGGGUGAGCUCAGGGUGGCUUUAAUUGCUCUGCUCAAUGCGCAGCUUCAACCCCUCCUCUCUUUUUUUGUCUCUCAUCUCUCUCCUUCCUCCUCCUCCUUCCCGGCAUCAUUUAUCUUCCUCCUCCUACA